rnacentral:rRNA from 1 species
GACAGCCAGGAUGUUGGCUUAGAAGCAGCCAUCAUUUAAAGAAAGCGUAAUAGCUCACUGGUCGAGUCGGCCUGCGCGGAAGAUGUAACGGGGCUAAACCAUGCACCGAAGCUGCGGCAGCGACGCUGAUGCGUUGUUGGGUAGGGGAGCGUUCUGUAAGCCUGUGAAGGUGUGCUGUGAGGCAUGCUGGAGGUAUCAGAAGUGCGAAUGCUGACAUAAGUAACGAUAAAGCGGGUGAAAAGCCCGCUCGCCGGAAGACCAAGGGUUCCUGUCCAACGUUAAUCGGGGCAGG